GGGUGCGAUCAUACCAGCACUAAUGCACCGGAUCCCAUCAGAACUCCGAUGUUCAACAUGCUUGGGCGAGAGUAGUACUAAGAUGGGUGACCUCUUGGGAAGUCCUCGUGUUGCACCCC
rnacentral:rRNA from 1 species